rnacentral:rRNA from 1 species
AUGGUGGCUCCCACCUGCUUAUGGAAGGGUUUUGCAUCGCUCACAAUCAUUACCGCCUGGACCAUCUGGAAGCAUAGGAAUGCAAUCUUCGAGGGUAUGCAACCUUCAAACGACCAGCUGCUUACCACAAUAAAGGCCGACACCAAGAGAUGGGCGUGGGCGGGCGCCAAGGGACUAGAUAGGAUCAUUCCCGUAGCUUGA